rnacentral:rRNA from 1 species
UGGGGAAUAUUGCACAAUGGGCGAAAGCCUGAUGCAGCAACGCCGCGUGAGUGAUGAAGGUCUUCGGAUUGUAAAGCUCUGUCUUUUGGGACGAUAAUGACGGUACCAAAGGAGGAAGCCACGGCUAACUACGUGCCAGCAGCCGCGGUAAUACGUAGGUGGCGAGCGUUGUCCGGAUUUACUGGGCGUAAAGGGUGCGUAGGCGGAUGUUUAAGUGAGAUGUGAAAUACCCGGGCUUAACUUGGGUGCUGCAUUUCAAACUGGAUAUCUAGAGUGCAGGAGAGGAGAAUGGAAUUCCUAGUGUAGCGGUGAAAUGCGUAGAGAUUAGGAAGAACACCAGUGGCGAAGGCGAUUCUCUGGACUGUAACUGACGCUGAGGCACGAAAGCGUGGGUAGCAAACAGGAUUAGAUACCCUGGUAGUCCACGCCGUAAACGAUGAGUACUAGGUGUAGGAGGUAUCGACCCCUUCUGUGCCGCAGUAAACACAUUAAGUACUCCGC